AACAAACCGGAUGGCGCCGCGCCGGUAGUCCAGAAAAGCGUGCGCAGAAGCGCGGAUUUUGUGCGGCUGAUGUUAGCGGACGACGCGAGCAGACGACCAGAGCAGACGACGCUAGCAGACGACGCCGGAGCAGGAGCAGCAGCAGCAGCAGGCUACCGGCGUCGCCGGUGCAGACGAUCGCUCGGACAACGCGAGCAGACGACGCUAGCAGACGACGCCGCAGCAGGAUCAGCAGCAGCAGCAGCACACUACCGGCGACGCCGGUGCAGACGAUCGCUCGAGCGCGCGCGCGCCGGAACGGCACGCCGCCGUUUGCAGACGACAGCAAAGCGGCGGCAGACGAUAGAGACGCGUCCGGCGUGCGCUGCCGGCGCCGCGCGAGGGCGCUGGCGUUUGAGUUGUCGGAAUUUUUUUUUUUUUUUUACUCGCUGCCACCGAAUCCAAUGCAUGCGCUGCUGUGCUUAGAGCCAGCGCGGACGGGCGCGCCGGCGGUGUGUGCAGCGUUGAUCCGGGAACGGAACUACGACGCAAGUGACGUCUCCGCCUGUUGCUACUUGUUCGCUUUCGGAGCAGCCAACCGGGGACUGCGAACAGACGGCACUCUACCCAAACCAAGUUCACUUCGGGUUGGUGCUCCCUGGCCCGUUGUUGCGUCGCACCUCCCUCGAUGGCGCACGAGGUGCGACCAAGAAGGCUUCACGCAAAAAUGCUGGAAAGGCAGCCUCAGCAGUUUCUUACCAGCAGAGGUGAAGCCAGAGCUUGGGUAUACAUCACCUUUGAAACAGGGCUGUGACAGCUGAAGUAUUAUCACAGAUCAAUUACUUUUCGUCGGUUAUUGUAAACGAUAGGUCAAUUGGAAAAUAAAAGUUCGUGUUUUUGGCUAAAAUAUUGCCUUUGGCUGCGCACUGAUGUCACGAUGUGCCAGCAAAAUUGGUCCACAUCUUCAGAGAGAGAGAGAGAAAUAACAUUUAUUAGCCCCGAAGGAACAAAAGCCCAAGUCCGGACCUUCUGGUAUGCUCAUGCCUCCUGACCCAGCAUGUUCUUGAAGUGCUGCACCAGAAGCGGCCACCAUAGUUUUUCAAACCUUCGUGGGGGAGUGGUCCACUCCUCCCAGCUGCUUUAGACAUCUUUAGACUUCGGGCUCAUACCAGUGACGGAAAGAAAGACGUCGAACAAUACCUGUGCGGGAAAUUAUGUUUGCGUGCUUACGGUAAGAUAGCGGUGCUGCAGCUUCAGUUUUCAUUUUCAGUUCAUCAGGUUCGUUUAGAUGCGAAGCACCUUAUGCGCCC